rnacentral:rRNA from 1 species
UACGGAGGGAGCUAGCGUUGUUCGGAAUUACUGGGCGUAAAGCGCACGUAGGCGGCUUUGCAAGUUAGAGGUGAAAGCCCGGGGCUCAACUCCGGAAUUGCCUUUAAAACUGCAUCGCUAGAAUUGUGGAGAGGUAAGUGGAAUUCCGAGUGUAGAGGUGAAAUUCGUAGAUAUUCGGAAGAACACCAGUGGCGAAGGCGACUUACUGGACAGAUAUUGACGCUGAGGUGCGAAAGCGUGGGGAGCAAACAGG